CUUCACAAAAUGAGGACCUUCUACAAUUAGCAGCUUGAUGAAUUCAGGAAUUGAACUGCAUCAACAUUUACUCGCACAACCGGACACGCUCUCUUGUGUCACAAAAUUUUGAGAACAAAAAUUGUUCGUCGUUUGAACUUCCUACACAUUUAAACAAAUAAGAUUUACUACAAACUGCAAGAUGUGAAAAUUGAAUGAGUUAUAUGAUUCGAUUACCUCAACAUUGAAAAAAAAAUUAAAAAAAAUAAGAGUACCUCAACAUUUAAUGGAGAUUUUUUCGAAAAUGACCUUUUCAACAGUUUUUUUAGGUGCUCCUUUAGUUCUCCAGUAUUUUAGAUUUAAGAUGUCUCCACUGCAAACAUUCCCGUUUCAAAGGAUUGUGAGGCGACUUGAUUGAAUUUUGACGUCGAUUAACCGUUUGGAAUUCGAUCCACUCCGUAAUGCGCUUGCAUUGUCCCUCGUCAUGUGCCACCAUGUAAGCUAAUUUGGUAUACUUAAUGCCCAUAACAGAAAAGGAAAAAAAAAUUAAAAUAUUCCAAACUCGUAUAGAGCAAUCAAAACUCAAAAGCACACUUUAAUAGAACAAGCAUUUUCCCGUUCAACGAUUUCCUUCAAAAUCAAAACCCAAUUGCUCCAAAUAUAAAAUGCAUAAAGAAUAUAGAACCACCCUCAGAUCAAAUGAAGAUGAAGAAGAAUAAAUGUUACCCAUGCUGUCGCCAACGCAGAAGUAGCCGACAGCAUUGGAGUUGUCUACUUCCAUUUCAUUUGCAUCUCCGAAAUGGUUGAAUUUUGCGUUCACUACAACUGAUGGGGGUGAGAACGUGGGGUUUACCAUCGUGUCGACGUCGACGUCGAGGUUCACGUCGUGGAGGCUCGAAUGGGUUUUGAUGUCCUUCCAUUUCGGUCGGUUGCUG
rnacentral:lncRNA from 1 species